ACUCCUACGGGAGGCAGCAGUGGGGAAUUUUGGACAAUGGGGGAAACCCUGAUCCAGCCAUGCCGCGUGUAUGAAGAAGGCCUUAGGGUUGUAAAGUACUUUUGUUAGGGAAGAAAGCUAGUUUUAAUAAAAUUAGUGAUGACGGUACCUAAAGAAUAAGCAUCGGCUAACUACGUGCCAGCAGCCGCGGUAAUACGUAGGGUGCAAGCGUUAAUCGGAAUUAUUGGGCGUAAAGCGAGUGCAGACGGUUACUUAAGCCAGAUGUGAAAUCCCCAAGCUUAACUUGGGACGUGCAUUUGGAACUGGGUGACUAGAGUGUGUCAGAGGGAGGUAGAAUUCCACAUGUAGCGGUGGAAUGCGUAGAGAUGUGGAGGAAUACCGAUGGCGAAGGCAGCCUCCUGGGAUAACACUGACGUUGAGGCUCGAAAGCGUGGGGAGCAAACAGGAUUAGAUACCCUGGUAGCUACGAG
rnacentral:rRNA from 1 species